CUCAACCCUAGGGGACCACUAUCAUCCUAACCGCACGUCCUUUCAUCUAAUAGCCGAAAACUCAAUAGUACCAAGGACUUGGUACUAUCGAUAGUAUAGUAGCAUAAUUCAUAUAUAUAUAUAUAUAUAUAUAUAGAGAGAGAGAGAGAGAGAGAGAGAGAGAGAGAGAGAGUAGGGCUACUAUACUCUUAUGAGUAUAGAACCCUUACUACUCAUAAGUUGUUUUCGAUGUUGGAGUUUUCGAAUCGACAAUCCACACCGUUAAACAUGAUCUAGAGUAUUUGAAACCUCUAGAAAAUAAUUUUCAUAAAUUUUCAAAAUCAUUAUAAAGUCCAUCAAGCGAGUAUAAAAUGAAUGGUUAAAAUCGAAUGACAUCCUAAAAAUGGAUGAUCAGAUCCUUCAAUUUAAGAUCGGAGUUAUUAAUGUUUAUUUAGGUAGUGAUCGAGUAGAAUUUUCUAUCAAAAAUUCAACCUAUUUCGAUUCUUUUUCACCGUUAAAAUAGCAAAUAUUUCAUACCGGCCGUUAAAAAUUGUCAAUUUUGUGACCUUUUGAUAGUAAGGUAAAUAAUAUCGAAAAAUUAUAAAAUUUAAUUUCUAGAAGUUUUAAAUGCUCUCGAUAACAUUUAACGGUAUAGAUCGUCGAUUUGGAAGCUCUAUUAUUGAAAAUAACUUAUGAGUACGAGGGCGAUCGUACUCAUAAGAGUAUAGUAGCCGGACUCUAUAUAUAUAUAUAUAUAUAUAUAUA
rnacentral:lncRNA from 1 species